GUAAUUAUAGUUUAAUAAAAACAUUAGAUUGUGAAUCUAACAAUAGAAGACCAAAACUUCUUAUUUACC
ensembl:Mt_tRNA